GCUUCCAGAUAUUUUACACGUGGAAUAUACAUCUUAUUCGUCCCGCCUCCGCUUAGCCUUCCAUCUGCCCGCAGCACCUUGUCGCAACUCCACUUGCUAAAGAUCUCGUGUUCUUCUUGACCCAGUUCCAAUACCAUCAUUUCUGUGCAUCUGCAACUGCCAGGGGCCUGUGUUCCUACGCCCUGCGGAAGGGUGUCCAGCGAUCACACUCCCUCCACACACUCUUGUCUUUUCCAAGGCUUCAAUGCCAUCUUUCGCAGCGUCUGCAGUCUACAAGCCUGGAACUCCGGACUUGACUCUGUAACUAACGGUGCGUCUCCACUUGAUAUCCAAAGGCCUCUUCAACUGUACAAAACAGAAGCCCGACUUUCCCUAGGUUCUCAUGUCCAAGUAAAUGGCACUGCCUUUUGCCCAGUUGCUCAGGCAGCACCUGAAAAGCAUCAUUUAUUUACUCUUCAAUGCCCCCCCAUGCUGCAUAUCCAAACCAAGCAGCAGGACUGUCUCUUUCUUCAAAACACACCUGGAUGGGGCCUCUCCUCGCCGUGCUAAGCCCCUGGGCAUCACUCUCACCUGGAGUGUGCAGACAGCCUCUGGUGGGCUCCCUGCUGCAGCCGUUCCCGUCCUCUAUUGCACAGAGCAGCCAGUGAGCUUGGAACACAAAUCAGGGCCUAACACUGCUCUGCCCUAAGCCCCAAGCUCUCUCUUGGCCUCCCAGCUUCCCCAGAACAAAUCCCAAAGCCUCGGCGUGGGCGAUGGGCCCACACCACGCAGCCCCACCUGCUCCCCAGACGUGACAAGGUUGGCAUCGCCUGUGCAUGUGGGUUUCCCUCUGCCUAGAACCCUCGUUCCCUGCCAUUAAAAAUGGCUUUAUUCACAUUAUUUGAUUCUAGCUAGCUCCAAAGCCAUUUACUCAGUGAGGGUCUCCCACCCGCUCACGCACUCACCUCACCUUAUUUUUUUCUUCCACACCACUGAUUACCAUCUGCAAUUGAAUGAAAUUAUUUACUAAAUCUUAUUUUAUAUUGUCAUACUUCCUUAGCGGAUAAAAACUCAAAACUACGAAAGCAAUGACUUUGCCUUGAGUGUUGUUCUACACCCAGGUGAUCAGAACACAGAAGCCUUUGAUAAAUUUGUGCUGAAACAAGUCACGUCAUUAGUGCCUGAAAUCAGGAAACUGCCUGCAGGAGCCUCUGUUCCUGGCAUACACUUGGUGCUCAACACAUGCUCGUUAAAUACAUGAACAGAUACCUAAAUAACAUCAUUCACUUUUUUCCCUUCUCAUUGAAUGAGAUGGUUUAGUGGUGUCCCCACCCAAAUCUCAUCUUGAACUCUAGUUCCCAUAAUCCCCACGCAUGGUGGGAAGGACCCAGUGGAAGGUAAUUGAAUCAUGGGGGCAGAUACCCUCAUGCUGUUCUCAUGAUACUGAGUGAGUUCUCACGAGAUCUGAUGGUUUUAUAAGGCGCUUUCCCCUCAUUCGCUCUGCAUUUCUUGCUGCCACCACGUGAAGAAGGAUAUGUUUGCUUCCCCUUCCGUCAUGAUCGUAAGUUUCCUGAGGCCUUCCCAGCCCUGCAGAACUGUGAGUCAGUUAAGCCUCUUUCCUUUAUAAACUACCCUAUCUUGGGAAUUUCUUCCUAGCAGUGUGAGAAUGGACUAAUACAUCAAGGUUUUCAAAAGAGCUCUACCCACAGAUCUUUUAAAUUCCAUUCUUUUCCUUUGGCUUCAUAAAUGAGCGAGCUUUCUUAAGGCUUAUUAUCAAGAGUGGCUUUCACAUUUUAGGAGCACAUUAGGUCUCUGAAGCCUUGUAAUUUUCUUUUAAGUCACAUGAAAAAGAUCUUUACUUCCAAGGAGACACCUGGCUAUGCCCGGGCCUUUGGAUUUGAGGGCUCAUCCUGCACUUUCAGAGUGGGUGAGAAAAUGGGGCUCACCCCCUCACUGCUUCAGCCUCCAAGUGUCCAAAGCUUAAAUGGACGGAUGGGGCCCUCCCUCUCAGGCCUCAUUAUAGAAGGCAAAUUAGCCCCCAUGAUGGAGGCGGGCAGAGGACAUCAUGAGCUUACCCAGACCUGCAGAGGCAAUGGGCUGGGGAUGUUCUCUCCCUAAGAACAGAGAUGCUUUUGAGGAUGAGCUGAUGCAGGCAGGGGUGGCACUCUACGCAGAUGGCAGAAUAGUGCCGGCCCCUGGGAUGGGUGAGAGGAGGGAGCAUCCAGGAGCUGGGCCUGCAGAGGGAGGGAUGGAGAGGCCUUGGGCCCUGCUGAGGGUUUGAACUUGAUCCUGAGGCCAUCGAGGGCUGCAGGAGGGCUUUAAACAGAAAAUAAUUAUAUGGUAAGAUGUAACCGUUAGAAAGUUAUAGAUGGCUGGGGUAACUACACGGAUGGCAACAGACAAGAAGCUGGAAACUGCUGGGAAGCUUUUGGGUGAUCUGGGUGAGGAGGGAAGGGUGCUGCGCUGGGGAUGGGGGAGGACUGCAGCCGCUGGGGUGGAGAUGCAGGACUUGGGACCAGCUGGGUGGCAGUGAGUCAGGAUGGCCCACCCCUGGCCUGGCCACUAGGAGCAUGGAGGUGCCAUCCAAGAGUGAGACAUGCGGAGAAGGGGCAAGUCUGGAGGGAGAGAUGAGUGCAGCUUUGUUUUUUAAGAUUUUUGGUAAAAUACACAUGAGAAAAUUUCCCAUCUGAAUCAUUUUCAGCUCUACAGUUGAGUAUACUUGCAUUGUUCUGCACUGGCUCUCUAGGGCUUUCUCGUCGCCAAAGUAAGCCCUGUCCUGCUUCAACACUAGCUCCCCAUUCCUCUCUGCCAGCCCUGACACCCACCCUGACACCCACCCCUCUACUUCCUGUCUCCAUGGGUUGACUGUUCCAGGGGCCCGUAGUGGGAUUACACAGUGCUAGUCCCGUGGCUGGUUCCCUCCACUCGGUGUAACAACUCCAAGCCUCUUCCGUGUUGUGCUGUGUGUCCGAAUUUCCUUCCUUUUUAAGGCUGAAUAAUCCGUUGUUCCACGUGGGUGGGGCACACUGUGUUUAUUCCUCAUUGGCUGAUGGACAUGUGGGUUGCCUCCACCCUUGGCUGCUGUGGAUGGUGCUGCUGUGACAUGGCUGGGCAUACUCCUCGAGUCCCUGCUUUCAGUCCUUUGGGGGAUAGACCCAGAAGUGGAACUGAGGGGUCACAUGGCACUUCUGUGUUGGGAGCAGGCCCCCCAAAAUCUGGCCAUAAACUGGCCCCAAAACUGGCCAUAAACAAAAUCUCUGCAGCACUGUGACAUGUUCAUAAUGGCCCUAAAGCCCAAGCUAGAAGCUUGUCUAUUUACGGGGAUGAGGGCAAGGAACACUUGGCCCGCCCAGGGUGGAAAACCACUUAAAGGCAUUCUUAAGCCACAAACAAUAGCAUGAGCGAUUUCUGCCUUAAGGACGUGCUCCUGCUGCAGUUAACUAGCCCAGCCUGUUCCUUUAAUUUGACCCAUCCCUUCGUUUCCCAUAAGGGAUACUAUUAGUUAAUUUAACAUCUAUAGAAACAAUGCUAAUGACUGGUUUGCUGUUAAUAAAUACAUGGGUAAAUCUCUGUUCAGGGCUCUCAGCUCUGAAGGCUGUGAGACCCCUGAUUUCCCAACUCACACCUCUAUAUUUCUGUGUGUGUGUCUUUAAUUCCUCUAGUACUGCUGGGUUAGGGUCUCCCUGACCUAGCUGGUCUCAGCAAGUGGCGUCCAUCGUGGGGACUCAAAUCCAGGUCGAAGGGUUGCCAGAACAAUGGUUGGAGUGGAAAACUAGCUGGAGGACACUCGAGUACUCUUAAAGCAAUCCCUGUGGCCAAAAUCAACAGCCGAUUUGGAUACCAUCAAGACACCUGAAACCUUAUCAUGAGCCAGAUGCAGAGGAAGAGAUUCCAGGAGGAUCCCGAGGACCCCCGGUUGCAGCCAUGUCAAGACUGACGCUGCGGAGGACCCCAACUGUCACGAGCAACACCCAUCGAACACAGCCACCCACCUGGGGACAGAACAGGAAGCUGUCACAGAUGGCGGAAGAAAACCUGAGGAAAGCGGGACAACCAGUCACAAUGAAUAAUUUAAUGAUAGCUCUGAUAGCGGUUAUCACCACCGCCUCUGCAGAUGUGGAUCCUGACUCCUGCAAGAAGUAGCUCACCGUGACAAAGCUGCCUUUGCUUUUAUCGAUUUGCAAAUCAGAGAAGGGGGACAUAUUGGGAGCAGGCCCCCCAAAAUCUGGCCAUAAACUGGCCCCAAAACUGGACUGGCCAUAAACUGGCCCCAAAACUGGACUGGCCAUAAACAAAAUCUCUGCAGCACUGUAACAUGUUCAUAAUGGCCCCUAAUGCCCAGGCUGGAAGGUUGUGGGUUUACAGGGAUGAGGGCGAGGAACACCUGGCCCACCCAGGGUGGAAAACCGCUUAAAGGCAUUCUUAAGCCAAACAAUAGCAUGAGUGAUCUGUGACUUAAGGACAUGCUCCUGCUGCAGUUAACUAGCCCAACCUAUUCCUUUAAUUCGGUCCAUCCCUUCGUUUCCCGUAAGGGAUACUUUUAGUUAAUUUAACAUCUAUAGAAACAAUGCUGAUGACUGGUUUGCUGUUAAUAAACACG
rnacentral:lncRNA from 1 species